AACCUUAUGGACCUGCGGGCGUAUACCUGCGGAAGGAUCAUUACCGAGUUUACAACUCCCAAACCCCUGUGAACAUACCUAUACGUUGCCUCGGCGGAUCAGCCCGCGCCCUGUAAAACGGGACGGCCCGCCCGAGGACCCUAAACUCUGUUUUUAGUGGAACUUCUGAGUAAAACAAACAAAUAAAUCAAAACUUUUAACAAUGGAUCU
rnacentral:misc_RNA from 1 species